GACGAACGCUGGCGGCGUGCCUAAUACAUGCAAGUCGAGCGAAGCGGCGGAUGGGUGAGUAAAGAGUGGGUAACCUGGCCUUAAGUCUGGGAUACCAGUUGGAAACAGAUGCUAAUACCGGAUAUUAAAGGAUGGACCUGCGAUUCAUUAGCUAGUGGGUAAGGGAACGGCUUACAAAGGCGAUGAUGCAUAGCCGAGUUGAGAGGCGGAUCGGCCACAGUGGGACUGAGACACGGCCCAGACUCCUACGUGAGGCAGCAGUAGGGAAUCUUCCACAAUGGACGAAAGUCUGAUGGAGCAACGCCGCGUGAGUGAAGAAGGUUUUCGGAUCGUAAAGCUCUGUUGUUGGUGAAGCGGUAAUCAACCAGAAAGUCACGGCUAACUACGUGCCAGCAGCCGCGGUAAUUC
rnacentral:rRNA from 1 species